UCUCUUUCAUUUAUAGUAAAAGCCGAACCUAUCAUUCUUUUCAUUGCUAACCGAAUAGCAACAAGCCAAAUCCCGAAGGAGUCAAAGGAAGUCGUUUUCUUUAUAAAGGUAUACACUUGUUCUUUUUCUUUUUAGCCGAUUAUUGUUAUUUUAAAAAGCCUUUCAACUCUUUUGUCAACACCCUUUUCGGUCCAUAACCACUUUUUUCUUCAGUGACCCAAAAGCCGAAAUCAGUGAAGCUAGUGGGGGUGCCGAAUCUUUGUUGACCAGCAACUCUCUAUUUCCUUUUCACUUGUUGGUAUUCAAUUCCCUCAUCUUUUAGGCAUAACGGAUUUAAGAGGAGAAAGACUGUGGUAAGUGCUCGAACUCUAAACGAUUCCUAGAGUAUCUAGUGGCCAAAAGUCGAAACCCCUCUAGUUUAGGGAAGUGGCUGAAUAUGGGUAUAGGCCUUAUAGGGUUCUUCUUUUAAUAUUUUUAUGGUUUCUAUAGUGGAGGAGCAGCAAGACGUAGUGUCGACUAGGAUUAGCUUGGAUCACCGGAGUGGCUAGAUCUCAUCAUAAAUCUCGGCAAAGGUAAGGUUCCUUAGGCCAUUAUGGAUGGUGGCCGGAUGUGUAAGUAUUAAUAUUAGAGGGUUUUUGAUUUGGUUUAAUUAUUGUGAGCUGAUCUAUUAACGGUUGAUUAUAGGAGAAAUCACAUAGGAGAUCUCGACGAGGAAUAUCGCAAACAGGCGUGUAACGAACCCUUUUUCAUAGCUUAAAGCGAUAAAUGCCGAAAAGCCGAAAUGCCAAAACUCUGGCAUUUCGAGGACUUGUGAGCAAGCGAACGCUCAUUAGUCAGUUAGAUUGUUGAGAUGAUGAUCGGGAAGGUUGGAAAAGGUAAUAGCGUGAUUUUUGGCAUUCACGAUAAAUUGGGCCUCGAGGGGCUGAAACAGGGCCCAAUGGGCAUUCGGGCCCAUUUGAGUAAAAUUGGUAGAAUAUGGAAACUUGUUAAAUUGUGCAUCGAGACUGAAAAAACCGUUAUGGAAUAUAGGCUGAAUAGGCCUAGAUGACAAAAUCGGCUAAGUAGGGCCAUUAGGGGUUUUUAGGCCCAAUAACUCGAUUUCACUAAAAAUGGGUCAGAAUCACUAUUUGCACCCAUGAAUUGUUAGUAACCGUUAAUGAACAUGGAAACCCUAAUUUUCAGUAAAAAUUACAGAAUUACCCUUAUAAUAUGAAAAUGACUGUUUUGCCCCUAGGUAAAAAUGACCAUUAUACCCCUAGGGUUUAAAUAUGAAUUUAAUACAUGGGAUUUUGAUAAACAUGGUAUGUAUGAUAUGCACAUGAAAUGUAUGAUAUGCACAUGAUAUGUAUGAUAUACACAUGGUGUAUUCAUAAAUGCAUUGGGUUGGUUUUAUAUGGAUGGAGGAAGUGCAAAAGGGCUUAUGCCCUAGUUAUUAAAGGGCUUAUGCCCCAGUUGUUAAAAGGGAUUUUGCCCCAGUUAUUAAAAGAGGCUAGGCCUCCAGUUAUAUGAUAAAGCAGCUAUGCUGCCAGUGGAGAGUUAUGGCGGGGUGGGUCGAGUUAAUCCCCACAUGGUGUGUUGGUUGGUACGGGUGGAGAGUAGCGGAUGGUGGGUUGAGUAGUCUCCCCAAAUGGGCUUGCAUUCUCUCAUUGACAUUACAUGUGAUAUUGAAAUGGGCCUAUGGGCCAUACCGUUUACAGUAAAAGCUUUGGCCCAGUAAUAUGAAAUAUGAAAAGGUUUCGGCCCAGUACAUGUUGAGUUUGGAUUUGGGCUUAGGCCCAACAGGCUGUUAUUGUUUUGGGCUCUGAAAGGGGCUUGUUGCACACUGAGUUUCCAAACGCACCCCCUUUCCUUAACCUUGCAGGUGAGCCUUGAUGUGGGGACUUGGGCCGGAGGGGAUUCAGAGUAGCCACGGUGAUCGCCUUUGGACUUUUAAAUAAGCGUUGGUUUUCAUUAAAUUUCCUUUAAUUAUUAUUUAUUUUUGGGUUGUAAUAAGGCCAUUUUAACAUUCCUUUUAUUUCUUUUCGGGAUUAUUUUAAUUUUAAUAACUUUAAACCUGGUUGAUAAUUAUUCAAAUGGGCUAGACUUAGGACGUGUUUUUAAAAUGAUACUUG
rnacentral:lncRNA from 1 species